AUUUAUUUAAUUCAUUUAUUUUGUGUUUUAUUUGUUAUGUUUUUUUCUUUUCUUUGUUUUUUCUUUUCUUUCUUUUCUUUGUUUUUUUCUUUUUUUUGUUUUUUCUUUUUUCAUGAGUUUGUUUAUAUAUAUAAAUUUCAUUGCUGCCGUUUCAUGUUUUUUACAUUUUUAUGUAGUGUCAAUUUUAUCUGCAUUUCCAUAACAGAUUGUAUCUUUAAAAAUUUAUAUGUAUGCAUGUAUUUUUCGUCUCUUUGCUACUAGUUUCAUUAUUGCAUAUAUUUUAAUUAAUUUUUUUUAUUCUUUUUGUUUAUGUAUUUGGGUGUAAUUCUAUUUUUCUGUUCUAUUUUUUUUUGUUGCCAUCCCUUAUUAACAGGUAUUCUUAAUAAAAUACCUUUUAAUUGGGGAUGAAAAAAAAGAAAAAAGAAAAAAUGAAUAUAUAAACCCAAACUGGCAUGGGAAGAGAUUCUCACCCUGAACCCUCCUAGUAGCUGAUUUUGUUCUCAUUAGUAGUUAAAUUUUAAUUGUGAUAAUAAAAAAUUUAAAGAAAAUAAAACAAUAGCUUAUGGUUUGACUCUUUAUUUUUUUUUUUGUGUAGCAAUUAAAAACGAACAUGGGGUUGCAUAUUGGUUUAGAGCGGAAGGACCCAUAAUGUCGCGUUGUUAUUUAAAGCUCAUAAACUUUUUGUAUUUUUGAAAUAAAAUUAAAGUAAAUUAAAAUGGUCUCAUUUUAUAUUUGUCUUUUUUUUUUCAAAAAAAAUCAAAAAGAGCCAUAUGCUUCAAUCAGUAUACUUAAAUGCUGCGCUAUUUUAUCUCUCAAGUCAACCAGGAGAUAUAUAUAUUUUUUUAUUAUAUCGUUGUAAGAAUGAAAAACAUUUAUUUAAAGCUUCUUUUUAUAUAUCCACAAAUGUAUAAGAAGAAUGUUAUACAUAAAUAUUUUUCAUUAUUAUGGCGUAAAAAAUUAAUGUAAAUUAAAUAUAAUAAAAAAACGUGGAGAAUUAAUACAACGUACAUAUAUGUAUACAUAAUUAAGAUAUAUUUAUCUUUAUAUAAUCACAUAUUAAUAUUAUUAAUGUGUGAGCAUAUAUUGUUGUAUUUUUUCAAAGCAAGAAGGAAUAAUACGUAAAAUUAAUUUUUUACUAAAUUACUCCUUAUAUAUGGUUGGUAUCUAUCGGCAUUUUUCUUCUCUUUUUUAUAGCUAUGAAAAUUAUGUAUAUUCAUAAUUUUCCAGUAAAAAAAGAAUGAAGAAAAAUGUUUUAGUUUCAUGAAGCAGUUAGCUCUGCGUGUAUACAAUAACAGGUUGUUACAUCACAAUCAUGAAUUCGAUAGAAAAACAAAGGCUUGGUAGCAUCCCAAUUAUGGAGUGUUACGUAAAUUCGAACUGCCUCUAUAAAGAUUACAAAAGAGAAAUAC